UAUAGGAAGCACUAAAGUAGGCAAAUCCAUAGAGACAGAAAGUACAGUGGAGGCUGCCAGGGUCACGAGAGGAGGAGUUAUUGUUCAAUGGGUAGAGUUUCCAUUCACAAGACUAAAAAGCCCAGAGACGGAUGGUGGUGACGGUUUCCCACAGUGUGAAUGUGCUUAACAGUGAGCCACUGCACUCCAACCUGGGCAACAAAGCAAGAAGACCCUGUCUCAAAGGAAAAAAAAAAAUAGCACCAGCUAUUUUUAAAAAAUCCCCCAUGGAAGUCAGGAACACUUUUAUUCACUACUUCCUCAGCAUCACAAAAGGUGUUUCUUCCCCAUCCUGGUCUCCCAGCCAAGGAUAAGCAUUAUAAAUGCUGGUGCUUUGAGAGAAGUUGGGCUACUUCUAAAUCAAAGCAUCCCUCUUUGGGCAGAAGUUUUCGAUGACUGGCAUUCUUUCACAAUUCUUGCUCUAUCAAAUGUUUUUUAAAGCACCUCUGCCCAUAAAUGCAACACAAACAAGUUGCCCUGUGAGUCACAGGACGAGAGCACAUGCUAAGUCCGCGUAAUGAUCUUUAUGUAAUUUGCCCCUUAGUCAUUGUCUGGCCCAUUAGGUAAACAGGCAGUGUGCAUUUCUUUGAAAAUAAGGGUCUCUAUAAAAACUGCCAUUGUGAAUAGACUACAGCCCUGCUAUGGGAAAUGAAGACAUGCUUGUUUUCCCUAAAGAGCUUAUAGCUUUGUUGGAGAAGCACUGCAUAGGAUACUAUAUCAGGCAAGAGAGGACACAUUUGGAUGACAGUUGCACACUAUAGACAAAUUUCUCAAGUAACCCAGAAGAGAUGGGAUGGGAGCUCUUUUCCUGAAGGUAGCUGUAUGGAACACUGAUGAGGAUCUUGAGCAUUUGGGAGCCCAAAAGAGGGACAGGCUUGGAUUGAGAGGGAAAGUAAUGGGGAAAGAACAUAUCCAAUGGGAGUUCCCACAAAUUAAACGUUUUUCGCUAAGCCUGUGGUGCUUUGAUUACUAAGUGGGGUUUUGUUUUGUUUCCAUUAACAAAGAGUGACUCAAAUAGCCUAAAAUAAUAAAAUCUUUUCUCAUCUGGCCCGAGAAGAGCUUUAGCAAGUAUUUUAUUUUUAAAAAAGAGCCUAUUCCUCUGCUGUUCCAAAUGUCCAUGAUUCUUUCAAAUCAUGGAAACUAAGAUCCUGUCUGUCACUAGCUCUCAAAAAGUUUUAAUUUCUACCUGCAUGGGUGGUAGUCUGCAACCAGCUCCUGUGGGCUCAGGAGAGCCAACUGUUACAUUUUCAAGAAUCUGUGCACUGGUUGUGGACAGUCACUUGAGAUCACCCGUGCAUGCAUGGGAACAUUUACACCAUGAAAAAUGUCACAUGCUACAAAUCAGGGCCUGGUUUGUUGUUUUGUCAAUUGUCUAGACAUAAGAUAGUGAUAAAGUGUUAAUAGAUUAAGCUAUUAAAAUAAUAGAUUGGAGACUGAAUUUUAAAAUGUAUCUUGUCUGGGGACAUCACAUUGUGAAUAGCACAAAAUAGCUAAGGAGAUAUUCCUCCAGAAUUU
rnacentral:lncRNA from 10 species